rnacentral:sRNA from 1 species
AAUAAGCGGAGGAAAAGAAACCAACAGGGAUUGCCCUAGUAACGGCGAGUGAAGCGGCAACAGCUCAAAUUUGAAAUCUGGCUUCGGCCCGAGUUGUAAUUUGCAGAGGAAGCUUUAGGCGCGGCACCUUCUGAGUCCCCUGGAACGGGGCGCCAUAGAGGGUGAGAGCCCCGUAUAGUUGGAUGCCUAGCCUGUGUAAAGCUCCUUCGACGAGUCGAGUAGUUUGGGAAUGCUGCUCAAAAUGGGAGGUAAAUUUCUUCUAAAGCUAAAUACCGGCCAGAGACCGAUAGCGCACAAGUAGAGUGAUCGAAAGAUGAAAAGCACUUUGAAAAGAGGGUUAAAUAGCACGUGAAAUUGUUGAAAGGGAAGCGCUUGUGACCAGACUUGCGCCGGGCUGAUCAUCCGGUGUUCUCACCGGUGCACUCUGCCCGGCUCAGGCCAGCAUCGGUUCUCGCGGGGGGAUAAAGGCCCUGGGAAUGUAGCUCCUCCGGGAGUGUUAUAGCCCGGGGCGUAAUGCCCUCGCGGGGACCGAGGUUCGCGCAUCUGCAAGGAUGCUGGCGUAAUGGUCAUCAGCGACCCGUCUUGAAACACGGACCAAGGAGUCAAGGUUUUGCGCGAGUGUUUGGGUGUAAAACCCGCACGCGUAAUGAAAGUGAACGUAGGUGAGAGCUUCGGCGCAUCAUCGACCGAUCCUGAUGUAUUCGGAUGGAUUUGAGUAGGAGCGUUAAGCCUUGGACCCGAAAGAUGGUGAACUAUGCUUGGAUAGGGUGAAGCCAGAGGAAACUCUGGUGGAGGCUCGCAGCGGUUCUGACGUGCAAAUCGAUCGUCAAAUCUGAGCAUGGGGGCGAAAGACUAAUCGAACCAUCUAGUAGCU